ensembl:lncRNA
GUCAGGAUGCCGGGGGUAGGCACAGUGCUGGGGUCAGAAAGGGAGCGGGAGGAGCAAGGAGGGCUGGGAUCUCAUGGUCCCCUCUGAGCCCACAUCCCCAGGGACCUGAAGACCUCCCUCCAGGCCCCACCACUUCCCAGCAGUGUCACGGGCUGGGGUGAAGCCUUUAACAUGUGGCCCUUGAGGGGCUUUCAGAGCCAAACUACAGCUUUUUCCAAGGAAGGGCUCCUGUGCCCUGUUCCCUUGGGCACCAUCCUAGGCAGAGGGACCCCCAUGGCGAUGCUUACAUCCUCCAAGGGCCGAGGAUUGGCCUGGAAAAGGGGACGGAUUUCAAGGAAAAUCAGGAGAGUGCAGUGAAGCCUCAGAGCCCUUGGAAACUAGGCUCACAUAAGAAUGUGUCGGGCAGCGGGCUGUUUCCUGUGCCUAAGGACGGCUGGAGGGCGGGGCGGACAGAGGGAGAGAGACACCAGCUGCGAAGGGGCUGGAAGGAGGCAGUCGUGUCCGGAUCAGCCAGGCAAGGGACAGCAGGCCAGCAGCAAGGGCAUCUCACUCGAGUACCUUGUUUUAGUUACUUUUCUGGCCACUGAGACACAAUAUCUGACAUCCACAACUUUAAGGAGGAAAGGCUUCUUAGGACUCAGUUUGGAGAGGCUUCAGUCCAUAGUCUGCCAGCUCCCAGGCCGGGCAGCAUGGCAGAGGGGCAUGGCAGAGGAGAAAGAGCUCAUGGCCUGGUGGCAGGAGGCAGAGAGAGCAGAAUCAAGGAAGGAGAGAGAAAGAUACACUCUGCCAGGCCACACCCCUGGUGGCCCACCUCCUCCAACCAGGGUUCAUCUCCCAAAUCACAUUCAGCAACUAAUCCACUGAUGAGCACCAUGCCCCACGAUCCCGUCACCUCGGCAAAGCCCCACUUAGGAGCAUGUGAGGCUUUGGAGGACACCGAGAUAUAAAUGAUAACAUCCCUGAAAGGCAUGGCUUCUACUCUCCAUGGCUGCUACUGCCAAUCUCACCUUGCCCCACCCCCUGCCUUCCCUGGACCACCUGGACCAGGUAAGAUCCCGGGAGUCAGGCACAAAGCUGUCGAGAGCCUGGAGACCUCUCCAAAUGGAAAAGACUGUGUUUCUGCUAUCAGGAGGACUCUGGUGAAUUUAUAGAGAAUGAAGAGGGUUCUUCUCCUGCACUGAAAAGGGAUUCCAUAGAAGAAUGAAUAGAUUUGACCCUUGUUCAUACUAUCAAAUCUUAGUUUGUACAGUCAUGGACAGAGAAGCCAUCACCAACAAUGUGA